rnacentral:sRNA from 1 species
AUUCCCUAUUAAGUUUGUUUCUUUUCUAGAAAAAAUUGAAAGAACCGUCCAGAUUGAGGCUUCAACUGUUGAAAUUGAAGAGCGAGGGGUCAAGCUACGCCUGACAGUGGUAGAUACCCCUGGCUAUGGUGACGCUAUCAACUGCAGAGAUUGUUUUAAGACAAUUAUCUCCUAUAUUGAUGAGCAAUUUGAGAGGUACCUGCAUGACGAGAGCGGCUUGAACAGGCGGCACAUCAUUGAUAAUAGGGUGCAUUGUUGCUUUUACUUUAUUUCACCUUUUGGACAUGGGUAAGUAAUUGUUUAU